ACCAGACUCCUACGGGAGGCAGCAGUGGGGAAUAUUGCACAAUGGGGGGAACCCUGAUGCAGCGACGCCGCGUGGGUGAAGAAGCGCCUCGGCGCGUAAAGCCCUGUCAGCAGGGAAGAAAAUGACGGUACCUGAAGAAGAAGCCCCGGCUAACUACGUGCCAGCAGCCGCGGUAAUACGUAGGGGGCAAGCGUUAUCCGGAUUUACUGGGUGUAAAGGGGGCGCAGACGGCGAUGCAAGCCAGGAGUGAAAGCCCGGGGCCCAACCCCGGGACUGCUCUUGGAACUGCGUGGCUGGAGUGCAGGAGGGGCAGGCGGAAUUCCUGGUGUAGCGGUGAAAUGCGUAGAUAUCAGGAGGAACACCGGUGGCGAAGGCGGCCUGCUGGACUGCAACUGACGUUGAGGCCCGAAAGCGUGGGGAGCAAACAGGAUUAGAUACCCGUGUACGU
rnacentral:rRNA from 1 species